UACCAGCACCCCGAGUGGUCGGGACGUUUAUUGGGCCUAAAGCAUCCGUAGCCGGUUCUACAAGUCUUCCGUUAAAUCCAGCUGCUUAACAGAUGGGCUGCGGAAGAUACUAUGGAGCUAGGAGGCGGGAGAGGCAAACGGUACUCGAUGGGUAGGGGUAAAAUCCGUUGAUCCAUUGAAGACCACCAGUGGCGAAGGCGGCUUGCCAGAACGCGCUCGACGGUGAGGGAUGAAAGCUGGGGGAGCAAACCGG
rnacentral:rRNA from 1 species